CAAUGGAAAUAAAGCAAAUUGGGGUCAAUGCCGAACCCUAGAAAACACGGGAAAGAAAGAUCCACCAGUUUAUGAAUCAAAUAUCUCCAAUAAAAUCUCUCUCUGGCUAUACGCUGUUUUCAUCGUCAUCUUUAGCUCAUCUUCUUCUCAAUUUGAAGUUAGCAAGCCUGACAUAAUAAUGGCCGGUCAGAGGAAUAGUUAUGGAAAGCGUUCUCAUUCUGAUUAUUCUGACAAUGGUGGAAAUAAAAGGAGAAAUUCUGGUGAAGACAGAGAACAGUUUGUCAUCGAUUCAGAAGAUACUGUUUACCGUUAUUUGUGUCCUGUUAAGAAGAUAGGAAGCAUAAUAGGGCGAGGAGGGGAGAUUGUGAAGCAGCUGAGGUUGGACACAAAAUCAAAGAUUAGGAUUGGAGAGACUGUACCUGGAUGUGAAGAGCGUGUCGUUACUAUUUAUAGUACCAGUGAUGAGAGCAAUUCUUUUGAAGACAAUGGUAGUAAUAUUUGUCCUGCUCAAGAUGCUCUCUUCAGGGUUCAUGAAAGGGUUGUUGCUGAAGAACUGCAUGGUGAUGAUGACAUGGAAGGAGGUCAUCAGGUUACUUGUCGUCUUCUUGUACCGUCUGACCAGAUUGGUUGCGUUAUUGGAAAGGGAGGGCAGAUAGUACAGAACAUUCGUAGUGAGACUGGAGCUCAGAUUCGUAUUCUCAAGGAUGAACAUCUGCCUCCUUGUGCCUUGAACUCUGAUGAGCUUGUACAGAUAUCUGGUGAUUCUCUUGUUGUUAAAAAAGCUCUCUAUCAAAUUGCUUCUCGCCUCCAUGAUAACCCAUCCAGAUCCCAGCAUUUGCUUACAUCUGCUGUGCCUAAUGUAUAUCCUUCUGGUGGUUCACUUAUGGGUCCAAAUGCGGGUGCUCCCCUUGUGGGAAUAGCUCCAUUAAUGGGUCCCUAUGGAGGAUACAAAGGUGAUGCUGGAGACUGGUCACGUUCUUUGUACUCAGCUCCGAGGGAUGAAGCAUCUUCAAAAGAGUUUUCUAUCCGCUUGGUAUGUCCAACUGGAAAUAUUGGAGGAGUGAUUGGAAAGGGUGGCACUAUAAUUAAUCAGAUCAGACAAGAGUCGGGAGCAGCUGUCAAAGUUGAUAGUUCCGCUACUGAAGGCGAUGAUUGUUUAAUAACAGUUUCAGCAAAGGAGUUCUUUGAGGAUUCAUACUCUCCAACUAUAGAGGCAGCAGUACGCCUGCAACCAAGAUGCAGUGAGAAGGUUGAGAGAGAUUCAGGAAUUGUUUCAUUCACAACUCGUCUUCUUGUUCCUACAUCAAGAAUUGGCUGCCUUAUUGGUAAAGGGGGAGCCAUCGUAACUGAAAUGAGGAGGGCUACCAAAGCUAAUAUUCGUAUACUGUCAAAGGAUAAUCUUCCAAAAAUUGCGUCUGAUGAUGAUGAGAUGGUGCAGAUUGCUGGUGACCUUGACGUAGCUAAGGAAGCUCUUAUACAUGUAAUUACCCGAUUGAGGGCUAAUCUUUUUGAUAGAGAGGGUGCAGUGUCUACUUUCCUUCCAGUUCUACCAUAUAUUCCUGUGUCGGCAGAUGGUUCAGAUGGUCUAAAUUAUGAAAGUAGAGACAGUAAAAGACAUGGACGUGGUCAUUCUUAUUCUGGUGGUUAUGGUGGCUCAAGUGAUUUGGCAUCUUCUGAUGGCUAUGGAAGUUAUGGUGGUUCCCAGAUUGGUGGCGGUGGUGGAGGCGCUUAUGGUGCUUAUGGAACUUAUUCCUCAGGGCGACCUGGUAGUUCUGGGUUAUCUAGCCAGAACCCUGUUUCUCGACGGAGAAACUAUGGUUACUAGAAUUUGUUGAUGGUUACCUGCCGGCAGGUGUGUGGAUCAAGUUCAGUAGAAUACUGACAAGCAGGUCGUAAUUAAUACCAAAAUUUUCAUGGACGUUUGGCUUGAAAUUUCAGAACAAGCUGCUAAAGUUCAGGGGGUAAGUUUAUUGUGUUUGCUAUGGUGGCAGUCACAAUAUUAGUGUGAAAGGUUAUUUUUUGGACUUGAGGUUAUUUUGAUAUUUAUUUGUUUGAAUAUUAUUUUUGCUGUGAGUUGGUUUUUUUUAUGUAGGGCAGAUUGGCAAAAUCCACAUUGCAUGAAGUGGUGAAGAUGAGAAGUCUGAAAGAAGUUAUGUAUCUUUUGGUUUUAUUUGCAGAUGGAAAGCUCAGAUCCUGCUGUGGAAAAUUACUGCUUGUAAACAUUCAAACCCAUCUGCCAACUUGGAACUUGGAAGAUUUCUUUGAUCAAGGAUGAUAUUAGGCAACACAUAAUAUUGCAGGUUGUAUGGUAAAUGCCAUUGUUUUGUUUGUACUUAUCUUUUCUUUUUUUGAAAUAUUUUAUAAGCAAAGCUAUGUGUUAUGUUUUUCCUAAUUAGUAAAAAUAAAAAAGAUUAUUUAUGUUUGGAUUUUUUUUGAAA